ensembl:lncRNA
UUUUCAUCUUGAUGAAGACCAGCAUUUCUUUCUUUUGUCUUCUUGGUGUGGUAUCUAAGAAUGCUCCAACGUGCCCUAAGGCCCAAAGAUCUUUCCCUAUGCUGAAAGGUUUAGUGGUUCAUUGUUCAUGCUGAAAUCUUAUAUCCGUUGAGUUGACUUUGUGUCAGGAUGAGACUCAGGUCAGAACUCAUCUUUUGGCCUGUGGGUGCCAGCGGCUCUGGUACCUUGGGUUGAGAUGAGUGUCCUUCUAACAGCUAAGAUUUAGGACACCUCCCUGUCAUCACAGCUCCCUAGUUGCCAGCCCUGUGGCUGCCCAACAGUCCUCUGUCCCUCUAUGCCCCCCAGGCACUGACUCUUGGGCACUCUCCCAGGAUCCUGCUGUACUGUAACUUUACCUGUUAUCCCAGGAGGUUAGGUUAAGCUCUGAGAAGUGUCCGGAGGAAGCCAAGCUGGGAGUGGGCCUGAGGCUGGUAUCCCUUUAAGGGGUGCAGAAGCAAAUGUUUGCCAAAAGGCCUGAUGCCCAUCCCACCAUUUUGGCAGCACUUUCAAUUUUAGGUAUGAGAUAUGGGGUAACUAGCUUAAAUUCAGGUGACGUAAAGGAAAUAAAGGUAAGAUCUGGUGUGGUACCCAACACCUGUGACCAAAGAACUGAGGCAGAAGGAUCAGGAUUGUUCCUGGCCAACAUGGGCUAUGAAGUAGGGGUGUGUGUGUGUGUGUGUGUGUGUGUGUGUGUGUGUGUGUGUGUGUGUGUGUGUUCUCUGUCCACACGUGUGUGUGUGUGUAUGUGUGUGUGUGUGUGUGUGUGUGUGUGUGUGUGUGGUGUGUAAACAAAUAGAAGGUAGAGGCACUUCCUGGCCUAAUUUCUCAGAGCUGCCCCCACAUUGAGGGAGCCUCACCAGUGACUUCCUGGACCCCCAUGUUCCCAGCGGUCAGCAUGGGGACCACAGCACUGUUCCACUGACUGAGCAGAAAGAAACAGGAACAGACUGAGAGCAAACCAGUCAGUGUAUCUCAAGUUGCCUAGCACCUGUGAUACCUGGCCAACCUGUGAGGCCACAGGACUGUUUGCUAGUCUAUCACAGCAGCUGCAUCCUGGGAUAGCCAGAGCACUGGAGGAGCUAGAAGGAGCCAAAGGACAAAAGGAGACAGUGUCUCUCUGGCAGGCUUCUGGCCUGGAACUCCUGUCAAUCCACUUGCCCAGUCCUGCCUGGGGUUACAGAUGCGCACCAUCACACGGGAAACCUUUGGAGUAGGGAUGUGCAUGCCAGGGCCACACCUGUUCCGGAGUGCUCCCGUCAUCCGCGUACACCCUGGGGUCUGCUCCGAGCUUCAGAAGCACCUCCACGGCUUCCAGGUGACCCCCAAAGGCUGCCCGGUAGAGCGGUGUGCGGCCGAAGGCGCCCUGCGGAAGGGGCUCCCUGAGCACGUGUGGGGACCAGGCCACGCCGCCGCCGCUCGCACCGCGCCCACCUUGCUGUUGGGGCUGGCACCCAGCUCCGCCAGCAGUUGGAUGGCCAAGGGCUGCCCGCCCGCCGCCGCCUCCGAUAGAGGCGUGUUCCCGUGGCUGUCCUCGCACUCCACCAUGGCCACGCGCCUCUGCAGCCGCCGAGCCUUGCCCGCCUCGUCCUGGCCCACGCCUUCGCGCGUCAGC